rnacentral:rRNA from 1 species
CCUACGGGAGGCAGCAGUGGGGAAUAUUGCGCAAUGGGCGAAAGCCUGACGCAGCGACGCCGCGUGAGGGAUGAAGGUCCUCGGAUCGUAAACCUCUGUCCGCAGGGAAGAACGGUCACUGUGCUAAUCAGCAGUGAAUUGACGGUACCUGCAAAGGAAGCACCGGCUAACCCCGUGCCAGCAGCCGCGGUAAUACGGAGGGUGCGAGCGUUAAUCGGAAUUUCUGGGCGUAAAGCGCUCGUAGGCGGUAUGUCAAGUCAAGGGUGAAAUCCCCGCGCUCAACGUGGGAACUGCCGAUGAAACUGGCAAACUGGAGUGUGUGAGAGGAUAGUGGAAUUCCAGGUGUAGGAGUGAAAUCCGUAGAUAUCUGGAGGAACAUCAGUGGCGAAGGCGACUAUCUGGCACAUAACUGACGCUGAGGAGCGAAAGCGUGGGUAGCAAACAGGAUUAGAUACCCUAGUAGUC